CAAUGGACAACACCAAUGCUACCAGCAGGUGGCAGAGUUGGGGUUUAAAGGCCCAGAUAGCCGGGCUAAUUUCCACUAUACCACACUGCCUCUUAUUAGAGAAACAGAAACAGGACUCCGGAAAAGUUGUGGCUCAAGCUGUGAUUGCUGAGAGCUGAGAAGGAGCUGAAAAGAGGAAAUUUAUGCUAAGAGCAGAUGUAAGAGGAGGAUCAGAGAGAGCUUUGGAGCAUCUGUGGCAGAGAAACAGCAUAAGAAAUGGCUAUGAAACUUGAAUGAGCCUAGCAUUUUUAAAACAAUGGCAUAAUGUGAUUUUUUUAUAAAAUGGAGAAUAUGGGGUGGUGAAAGGAAAUACUGGAUAUACAGAUGCCGUGUCAUCUAAUGUGCCAUGCCCAGGAGAUUAGGAUUAUUCUAGAGGCGAUGGAGAGUCAUUGAGAGUUUUAAACAAGGCAUCAAUAUAACCAGAUUGGUGUUCUACAAGGGUCAUGCUGGUAGCAGUGGUGUGAGAGGUAAGUGGAAAGCCAAUUAGGAGGAAGCUGUGGUGAUCCAGGGGAGAAAGAAUGAGAAGAAGGGGCAGAAGAAAUAGACAUUUGAGAGAAACAAUAGGAUGUGGAGAGAAAAGAGAUGUGAGUGACAAAUACUUUUUCAGGGUGACUGGUGAUAAUAUUUAUGAAACAGAAUGCAGGAGAAGGAGCAUACUUGGAAAGGAAAUGUGAAGUUAGUCAUCUUUGUAUACCUACAAACUUAGAGCUGACAGACAAGCACUAAAUACUUGUUGAUGUGAGUUUGAUUUUAGACAUACUUAGUUUGCAGUAUCCCUGGAACAUGCAGGUGGAAAUGUUUAGUAAACUGUUAGAAAUAUAGGUCUAGAAAAACAUUGCAAACCUGUGAAUUAGCUUUGUUAAUCAGGAUAUAAGUAGAGGAGUGAGAAAAGUCCAUGGAUAAAAUCCUUGAAAAUACUUAGCACAUAAAGAGUGAGUAAAGAAAUAAAAGCUAAUGAAGCAAGCAGAGAAUGGACAGCCAAAGAGGUAGGCAAACAAGAAAGUUUGGUGUAAUGAAACAGAUGAAUUUCAAGAAGGGAGGGGCUUGCACACCCUUGUUCAUCGCAGCAUUAUUCAUAAUAGCCUGAUGCAGGCAAUCUGAACAUCCAUGGAUGAAUGAGUAGAUUAAGAAAAUCUGGUGAAUACAUACAAUAGAAUAUUAUUCAACCUUAAAAAGGGAGAUCCAGUUAUAUACUACAACAUGGAUGAAACUUGAGGACAUUAUGCUAAGUGAAGUAAGCCAGUCACAGAAAGACAAAUACUGCAUGGCUCUGCUUAUAUGAAGAAUCUAAAGUAGUCAACCUCAGAAAAACAGGACACAGAAUGGUGCUUGCUUGGGCAGGAAAAGGGGGAAAAAGGAGUUGUUGUUCAAUGAGUAUAGACUUGCAGUUUCGCAAGAUGUAAAAAUUCUAGAGAACUUUUUAACAAUGUGCAUAUAGUUAACACUAUUGUACUGUACACUCAAGAAUGGCUGAGAUGAUUUUUUAAAAAUAAGGAGGAAGUUGUUAAAAGGGUCUUGCUUCACACACAUAAUGUAGGGGGGGACAUGGGAAAGGCAAUAUAUACAGAGAAGACAAGUAGUGAUUCUAUAGCAUCUUACUAUGCUGAUGGACAGUGACUGUAAUGUGGUAUGUGGGGGGGACUUGAUAAUGGGGGGAGUCUAGUAACCAUACUGUUGUUCAAGUAAUUAUACAUUAAUGAUAUCAAAAUUUAAAAAAGUAAAAAGAAAAGAAAAAGGGUCUUGCUUCAGAGGUGCCAGAUGAAAUAAGCCCUGGUAAGUGUGUGUCCCUUAGAUCUAACAAGUUGGUUUUUAUUGAUGACUUUAAUGAGAGCAUUUAUGAAGUGGUAGUGAUGACAAUGAAAUUGCACUUAGCUUGGGACUGAAUGGAAGGUGAGGAAGUAGAAGGAGCAAGUGAACCCUCCUGCAAGACGUUUGGCCACAAAGGAUGUGGAUCUCUCCUGAGUAGCACGACAGUAAGGGAGGGUUGAUUUAGGGCCCAUCUUACUUGCUUCCAUAUUUUCAGGAGCCACAGUCCUUCACUGACUGUUGUCUAACGUGAAAACAGUCAUUUCAUAUAUUUUGUCCAGUUUUCUACUUGUUUAUCAUGGAAAGAAAUGUCUUCUAUCAGUUAAUCCUUCACAGGCAGAAGUGGGAGCCUCUUUUAUGCAUAACAUUUUAAAAAUAAAUUUGAAAAUCAAGUGGAGAGGGGAGUCAGUGAAAAAAACAAAAGUCUUCCAAAUCCUCCCUUUCACAGUAUCUCCCUGGGGGUUCCAGAAGAGUCAACUUUUACAAGCUCUAGUAGAUGACAUUCACAUUCUGCGGCCCCAUGAACAAGGUCCUCACAGCACCUUCCUGGACAGGCUAUUAAUUUGACAUCCUCCAAACCAGUAUUUUAAAAAUACUUUUAAAUAUUAUAUAGUAAAUGGAGAAGAAGCUUAUUUUCUAAAAUUGAAUGCUUCUUCAUGCUUAUAAGCUGUAUGUCAAAUGACCCCUCAGCCUUUCUUUUGACCUCUCCCAAGUGAAACCCUGCUCACUAAAGAGCAUUAAUAAGUGAUACAGAAAUAUCAACUCCUUAAAGUACACCCUUUACUUGCUCUAUCAAGGAUGUAUGAAUAAAAACUGUCAGUCUUUCCUUGUCUCAAAAUUUCUUUAGCUCCCCUCCAGCUUAGCUAGGGAGAAUUCUAGAUUGACCAUUAUUUCCCUCAGUACUUUGAAGAAUUUAUUCCAUUAUAUUUUGGCCUCUAAUUAUGUUGAUAAGAAGUUUAUUGUCCAUUUAGUUCUUCAUCAUUAAUUUUUCCUAUCUGUCUUCCAUUGAAAAUUUGUUCUUCAUAUGUGGAAGUUUCACUACAGUGUGUCUACCUAUACAUUUAUUUUGAAUGAUCUAGUUCUGGACCUAAGUGUUCAUGCCUUUCAUCAUAUUGCCAUUAAUCCAAACUAUGAAACCUCUCACCCACUACAUGAAUUCCAUAGUGUAUUAGUUAUUUACUGCUGCCAUAACAAAUUACCACCAAUUCUGUGGCUGAAAAUACCACCAACUUAUUAUCUUUGAUUCUAGGUCAGAAGUGCAACACAGAUAUGAUUAGAAUAAAAUCAAGUGUCAGCGGGGUUGUGUUCCUUUCUGGUGACUCUAGAAGAGAAUUCCUUUUCUUACCUUUCCCAGCUUCUAGAGGCCACCAAAAUUCCUUGAUAUGUUUUCUCUUCCUCCAUCUUCAAAGCCAGCAAUGUAGAGUUAAUCCUUACUCUGUUGUUACAUUUUUUUUCCAACUACUGCAAGGAAAGGUCCACUUUUAAAGGACUCAUGUGAUUACAUCAAGCCCACUGAGAUAAUCCUGGAUAGUCUCCCCAGCCUAAAUCCUUAACUUUAAUCACAUCUGCAAAAUGUCUACUGCCAUGUAAGACAACAGAAUUAUAGAUCCCAGGGGUUAGAACAUAGACAUCUCCAGAGGACCUUUAUUUGUUUUAUCACACUUUGAGACCUCAAUUCCUCAUGUCAAAAUCUCAUCCAAUUUUUGGUACAUCCCAAGGGUCUUGAGUGCUCCUGCUCCAGCUAGCUUGUUGAGAAGCUCACUAUCACUUCUCUUACCAGUGUCCUCUGAGAAUGCCAUUCCUCUAGACACACUAGGCACUGAUGGUAAUCACUUAGACUUACAAUGGUGGUUAUUUGGAGCCUUUGAUGUCUGUCCCAAGGUGACUGAGAGGCAGGGGAAAUGGAGAGAAAGAUUGGCCUGUGCACCAGCAUUAUGGCUACAUUUUGUCUCCUGGGUUUUGGAAUAUAGUGAGUAAUCCCAGAGUUUCUCAGUUUUUCAUGAAUCUAAAACAAAAGAGAAAGAGCCUUUUCUCUUUUUAAAACAACCUCCUUUGCACUGAAGCUCAGAACUAGAUCAUUGGUUCUAGCUGAUAGAUAAGCUGUAUUCCAGCCCCUCAUUGUUAUCUCCUUUUUAUCUUACUUUCCAUCCCUGCCCCAAACUCCUACUAAAACAAUGAAGGUCCUGGUGCAUAUCAAUUCAUGCAUGUGGCUUACCAAAGUGGCUCUGUUCCCACUGGCUCUAUAAACUGCCAAGUUCUGAAUACACUUGGAGGUCAGUUAGACUCCCUUCUAUAGAAUGAUUAAAUUAAUGAUAUUACAGAUUUAAACACUAAAAGUUUAGGUGGGAGAUUAACUCCUGUGUUAUUUUCCUAUAAUCCACCUUAUUCAAGAGAACACAACAUCAGACAUUAUCUCAAUAUUUUAAUCUACUUAGAACCAACGACUCUUCAAAUUUGGCUCUGUUUAACUUGUCAAGCUCCUUCUCAUAUUACUCUGAUCCCCACAUAGUCUCAGGUCCUUUUGGAAUGUAGGUAAUUCCUCCUGGAGCAGGCCUGUACUAACCCGCUCAAGCUGUGCAGAGUUCUGACACUGUUUUUCAGACUGGAAACAAGAAAGGGUGAUGGAGGCAUGUCUUGAGGAAAACAAGUUGUCUUGCAGUGUGUCUACUUCAGGUGAGUUCAUAUAUGGUCUCCAGGCAAGGGGAGGCUCUUUUCCUCUGUCAAGAGGGAAUGGACUACUGCUUCCGUUCAAGAAGAUUUAGGGAUAAUUGGUACCUCAGACUUCUGAGGCUCACCCACUCAAAUGUUUCUUGUCUGGGUCUUAAGGUCUCACACUUUUCUUACCUGGAAAAGACUUUGACUGUCAGGCCUGUUAAAGCUAUGCAUUCAAUUUCUUUUGCAGUUUGCCACUUUGGAUCCUGAACCUAAUUUUUAACAGUAUCUAACUUACUGCUGUGAGAUGGCAGUCUCCUUUAUGGCUGCCAUAGAAGUCUUCUGGCUUUCAUGGUGUUCCUAAAUUGACAAUUAGCUGCUUUAAGCUGUUGCUUUCUUUUUGCAAGAUUUCCAAUGCUGUCAAAAGUAGCUGGCACAUUCCCCAAUGGUUAUCAUUAUCAUUUCUCCCACGCCAGUCAAGUAAGCAUCGAUUUGGUAUCCCAGUACUUUGUCUUCCACCUGCAUUUCAUCCCCGUUAACUGUAGAUGAAAGCUUUAGUAACUGUGAUGUAUACCACUGCAUUGCAGAGAUUAUUAUGCACUGACCAUCAGGAAAACCAUUCUUGUUGCCUUCAGAACUCAACUCCAAAAUCCCAUCUCUUAAAGACCACCUUGGUAUCAGCAUUUUUUUAACCAAGGUUCCUAAGAAAACAGUUUGAAGCAAAAGAUUUUGUACUAAUGCUUUACUGAUGGGUGAAAUUCCAGGGGAAAAGGUGUGGGAGAUAAAGUGAAAUAGGGAAAAACUGACACAAACAUAGGAAUGUAUUCAUUAUCAAGAUGGCCAUAGCUUAAUUACAAACAAAGCUGGUUGCUUGAUCUUCCAGGGCCUCUCCAGAGAGUACUUAUGAAACUACUGCUUCUUACAGUCUCCAUCACAUGGGGGAAGAGUAAGCAAUACUGGCUUCUUUCUGUCUCCUGUGUCUUAUUCGUUAAGAUUUACCACCCCUACCCUUGACAUUAACUCCCCCACAAUUCUGAAUUGUAUUACCUCACCCAUCCUCUCCAGGUAGCUUCUUGGGAAGCCAGAGCCUCUACAGUCCAUUCUGGCCAGUUUUCAGGUGCUUCAGUCCUUCCUCCUUGUCAGUUCUACCUUGUGGGGGUCAGAUGGAAGCAGAGGCUGUGGCUGUGGCUUUAUGACUAGGAUACCUCAUAGGAGUUUUGUGAGGACUUAUUCAAGUAAUACCCAGUGCCUGGCAUUUAGUGAGCACUAAGCAAACGUUAGCUAUUAUUUUUAAUAGUAACUGAGUAAAAUUUUUGUGUGUGAUUGUUAUGUGACAUGAGCAUUUCCCCCAUGCCUUCUAAGCCUUUGCUAAGCACCGUUACACUCAGCACUCUGAUGCACAACCAGACACAUCUGAGUGGUUCAACAAUGACAUGGGCUGUGGUCCACAGCAGCAGGGGACAACCAGGCAGCCAAAUAGAUUUGCAACAAAUUCACAAUAGCUGUGGCUACCAGCCAGGCAGCACACAGCAUGCAGUGGAACUAAGUGUUUCACCUUUAUAAAAAUAUGACCAGUGAUAAUGCCUUCCAUUGGCCAGCCACCUUAAACAAUUCUUUUAAACAUUUAACUGGUCUCUGAAAUCCUCUAAGGAAAUAAGUUGGUAUUGUUUUUUGUUCUAUAAAUUGUAGCCACGUACCUGAAGGAUAAUUUGUGCAUUCACAGUCAUAGAUUUGGUUCUGAAACCAUGAAGACAGGAGCCCUCAAAUGUCAAAUAUCUAAAGGACAAUAUUUUCUUUGGAAAAUUUGCUACCUCAUCCUCUGAGUUUGGUUAAUCAUAAAUAUCCUUCAUUUAAUGAAUAAUUCAAAUCUUAGUAUUGUCACCAUGGAAAACAGGGCUCCCACCUCCAAUUUUUCUUCAUGAGGAUUGUCAUGCUUCCUGCUGUCACGGCGCGGCCCACUAAGUGUGAGAGUGUAGGCCAGAUUUGCUUUCAACAGGAAACAGAAGUGAAGGCCUGCCCUUCCCCUGAAAGGAGACCACAAGAUGAUGUCCGCCUCCUGACUGGUGUAGGAGAAGAUCUUACCUUCUGAAUCACCCACUGCACAAGGCCCAGAUAGUAGAGAAUGGACAUGACACAGCCAAAGAAAAGGAUGAUUGUUCUAUAAACUCUCUGAAAUCAGGAAGAAUGAAGUGAUUUACCCAGAGUCAACAGCAAGUUAAUGGCUAAGCCAAAUCCAAAUCCUGGGAUCCUCACUCCCACUUUUGUGCUAUUUCUGGAUUUUGGUAGAGACUAUUUUGCUCACCUCUUAUACUUCAGGCACUACUCCAUGACUGAAAUGCAUUUCAUGCAUUUUCUCCUUUAAUCCUGACCGGGCACCUUGGAGGAAGAGCCAACAAUGAGCCAAGCCAGCCUGGGGCAGGCGGAAGAACCUGGGUGCCUGAGGCUGAACCCGGAGGUCAGGGUGAAAGCUGGCUUGCCGGCCCUCUUCCCUCUCUCACCCUCUAGAGCUGCUCACGCGACAAUCCGUGUCCUCUCUAGCCCUACGGAGGAUAUCGUAAGCGGAUUGUGACUGAAGAAAGAGAAAGAAUGACCGUCGUAAAGUCAAGAGAAAUGACUAAUAAGACUUCGGGAAAAAUAAGACUGAUAGGAUGGUAAGACAUCUUCGUUUGUACAAGAGGAAGUCACAGAACAUUAGGUGAAAGCAUUAUGCUGUUGCUAUGGUUUUUUGGAAAUUAACUGUGAGUAAAAUGGAUGCUGAGUACCUGAAACAAUGAGCUGCACCAGACUCUCUAUUGGCAGCUCAGCAUCAUUCCGUGUUCCCCCAAAAAGGUUAGGAAGUCUAUAAAACAUUUAGAAUCCUUUGACAACCAUUUUCCAUAUUAGAUUCCACAGAUGAGCAGUACUUGUGUGAAAUCUGAAGAACAAGAGACAGGCAAAUUCUUUAAGUCUAUUCAGAUUUUCACUAACCCGCUCAAAAUUUUUUCCAGUGUCUGCUGAGUUCCAAAGCCACUUUCACAUUUUGUUUUUGUAAUAGCAGCAUCAUACUUCUGAUAACAAAAUCUAUAUCAUUUAUCACAGUGUAACAAAUUACCUGAAAACUUAGUAGCUUAAGACAACAAUUAUUAUCUCACAGUUUCUUCUCAGUAAUUUGGAAGUGACUUAACUGAGGGUCUUUGGUUCAGAGUUUCUCAUGAAAUUUCAGUCAAGCUGUCAGCUGGGGCUGUAGUCAUCUGAAGGAGGCUGCGGGAUCCGCUCCCAAGAUGGCUCCCUUACGUAGGUAUUGGCUCAUCUCCCUGACGAUGACUGACAGGAGGCCUCAGUUCCCCACAUCAUGGGUCACUCUGUGAGCUUCUUUGAGUGUCCUCAUGAGAUGGCAGCUGGCUUUCUCUGGAGCUAGUGAUCCAAGAAAGAGAGCAGAGGAAGUCACAAUGCACUUUAUGACCUCAUAUCAGAAGUAACCCACCAUCACUUCUACUAUAUCCUUUUCAUUUGAAGAAGUCAGGAAGUCCUGCCCUCACUCCAGGGAGGGGUACCAAAGAAUUUGGGAAUGUAUUUUAAAACCACCACAAGUUCUUAUAGGGUAUUUGAUCUAAAGAAAAUUAAGGGAAAAAGUUUUUAGCCUCUCUAAUGAUAUGGUGACAAAGGAAGUCAUCUAGAUUCAAGAUGAGGCCAGGAAACCAAAGAGGAGUCAUGACACAGAAGUAUUUUGACUCAAAAAUUUAAGAGAAAGUUGAAAAUAGCAAGAAAGUGAAGUCAAUUUGUUGCAAUUUUUACAUGAGUCUCUCCCCUUUUAACUUAAAAUUACAUUUGAAAUUUGCAUACUAUGUUAUCAUGUCAUAUUCUCAAUGCUAAUGAUGACAUUAGGGCAACAUGGAUAAAUCUCUUUUCAUACUUUUUUGACUACCACGACUCUAGAAAAUACCAUUAAUAUUAGAGCUUCCUCUCAAGCCCCACAUACAUUUCCUUCAUCCAUCCUGUCCAUCCACUCUACCUCUGAGGUAAAGAGGAAACAACUAUGGGUGUGAUAGGAGGGAAGAGUCCACUUCCAACAUCAGGUUAGUCCCCACGCCUUAACCUCACCAACCAGACCAGGGAGCUAAAUUUUCCUACAAACCCAGGGGCAUUUCUUCUCAGACUGAUGCUUUGUUCUCUGGGCUCUGUAGUAAGUGUUGUAACUUUAGAUUUUAAAUUCCAAAAAUAAUUUUGGAGAUCAACACAGGAUUGCCAGUUUGUAAUUUUUCCAAAUAAAGAUGUUUUUAAAAAUGA